rnacentral:rRNA from 1 species
CCUACGGGUGGCAGCAGUCGAGAAUCAUUCACAAUGGGGGAAACCCUGAAGCAGCAACGCCGCGUGGAGGAUGAAGGUUUUCGGAUUGUAAACUCCUUUUGUUAGAGAAGAUAAUGACGGUAUCUAACGAAUAAGCACCGGCUAACUCCGUGCCAGCAGCCGCGGUAAUACGGAGGGUGCAAGCGUUACUCGGAAUCACUGGGCGUAAAGAGCGAGUAGGCGGGAUAGCAAGUCAGAUGUGAAAUCCUAUGGCUUAACCAUAGAACUGCAUUUGAAACUGUUAUUCUAGAGUAUAGGAGAGGUAGGUGGAAUUCUUGGUGUAGGGGUAAAAUGCGUAGAGAUCAAGAGGAAUACUCAUUGCGAAGGCGACCUGCUAGAACAUAACUGACGCUGAUGCGCGAAAGCGUGGGGAGCAAACAGGAUUAGAUACCCCUGUAGUC